AUGGCCGUCCCGUUGCUAGAACACGGCAGCGCCAAACAUUUCACUGACGACUGCUUCCUCAACUUGGGCCAAUACAGUGCUGGACUUGCUCAACGUCUGAAAAUCAAGUCUGGAUCAGUACCAACUCUCCUCGGCUCAGCUACAAACCUCGAAAAAGCCAGCUCAUCAAGUGCUUACAUUCAGCAGCUUCUCUCAAGGGAUGUUGCCUGCCAGACAGAAAACCUGGAAACGCAUAUUUGUAGGCACAAAGCUGUCCUUAAAGUCUAUGCAGCCCCAUUUUAAAAGUGAAGGUGUGUACAUUACUCAUUGAGUAUUUUUUUUCUUUGAUUUGGUAGAUUCUAGGCAGCAUAAAUUCUAGGCUGAUGCUAGAUUCUAACUGCGCUAAAAAGCCUGGUCCUCUUUGGAAAAGCAUCAUGACCAGCGCCCUGCUAAAACACGAGUCCAACUUGGGAGUUGCAUUUCAAAGAUGGAAUCAGUCAAGAGCCCAGAAUGGUUUCAAGACAGAUGCCACAUGAGCUGGUUUAUCAUUCUCAAACAUCAAGGAAUUCAUAAUGCAUGAAUGUUAGCUGAUCAGCUUAGAGGGAAGGAGACGUUGUUGCUUUUUAGUGUCGAAACAGAAUUGCGCUUCGCAUGUCAUGUUGUGAUCAGAUAAUUUUGCGCUGGUGUUCGUUGAGUGUCCUUAACCUGGCCAACCACUUGAGCUUUGAGUCUAGGGAGGAGGGUGCUGGAGGUGACGUCCCUCUCCAAAACUGAAUCUUUGUCAGCAGUACCCAUUUUAAACCCUCUGUGUCAAUGUUGCAUACAUUUAAAGAUGCCUCCCAUAAAGGGAGGCAUUGUGUACAAAUACACAAUGCCUCCCUUUAUGCAAAUAAUGUAUCAAAACAAUUGAUUUUUCCUUGUUUUCUCCGUCUGCAGAAGACUGCGAUGCCUUUGGAGACCGUAGCACUCAGUGUUGCGCCACCUCAGAGAUUCUUGGUGUGGACGCCCCUGGCUCCUCCCACAUGUCCAGUCACAGCGAGGAGCUGAAGAUUCUGAGCGUCUACGGAAAAGGGGAGGGCCCACUGGCGGAGGACGGCCAUGACACCCUCUUCACCUCGUCAGAAGUGGAGGCCCUGAACUCGCUGCCUGCGGACCACCGCGCGGCCAAGAGCCAGGAGCGCGGUGAGCGGCUGGUCUGCCACGAGGAGCUGCGUGUGCAGGUUGGAAAUCAUCUUCUCAUUCACCAUCCAAAAGAGAGGUUUCCUCUGUUACAACUCUAAAACAAACCCAUAGAAAGCUCACACCUUUAUGAUUCAGUAAACGUUUUUACACCGCCAAAUAUGCCCGUCUUAUGCCCAACUUUUCCCCUGUGUGAUCUGCACGUUUACACUGAGCGAGGUAAUUUACAGGCUUUAUUUCACACCCCUAUUAACCCUCUCUGACCCUACACAUAUUGGGGGUUUCAUUUUGAUGUAAAUGCGAUAAGACAGCCUUGCGGUUCUAGGGGGGAGGCUUGGGUAGAGGUGUUGCUGCAUUGUCUCUACAACAGAGACGAUGCAGCGAUAUCAACAUGAAUAGUUGUAACUGGAGAGACGGCGAAAUCCGCAAGCUGCUGACCAUCAUGGGAGAGAAGGUGAUGCAGUCGCAUUUAAAGAAGACGAAAGAUGGUCGAUCUAAGAGAAAGUACCAGACAAACUUUCUUUACAAUGCUUCGUCAGCAAAGUGGUUUGAAAAAAAUAAUAAAAAAUCCGGCAUUUUUGCACUUGUAAAUAGUUAAUCGCGUUUUAUCCUACACUCAGAUUUGAACUCAUUCUUGCAUGCGAGGGUCUUGAAUCAAAAAGAUGUUAAUAUCUAUUUGCAAUUCAUUGUAAAGAGUCCUACACUCGGUGUGUAGCCCCGCCUUCUCCGGUGAACCAAGAAAGUCAGCUCAGAGACGAAGGCAAGGCGGUCAAGGCAACUUUAUUCAUAUAGCACUUUUCAUACACAAGGCAGACUCAGUGAUUCACAUAUAAACAUUGUCAUACAAUACAAUAACUGAUAAGUAAAAGAAAACAUAGCAAAGUUAAAAAGGCAUUUUAGUAUUAAAAUAGAAAAUAAAGGCAAAGUUAAAAAAGCUUUUUAGAAAGUGCAAUGUAUUUAAGAUUUAGCAGAAAGCUAAAGCAAACAUAAAAGUCUUCAAGGGGGAUUCUACCCCCUUGGUUUUACACGGGCAAGACAUUGAAAUUGCAGAGCGUGCCAAGCUGCGACCGAACCAGCUUGGCAGUGUGAAAAGGCAUAAUGUGUUGUUAGUGGGGAUUGACAGCUAAUCUGUGAAAAUGAAAGAAUAUGUCUUGUGUGUGUGCUUCCUUUUUUAUGUGUAAAGCGGCAGACCCCAGACACCAUUUCAAUAAAGGUUGAAGAGGAUAUUGGUGGAGGCUUGCCCGCCACAGGUUAGUAAUACACAUUGCAUCUAUGCAAGAAAACAACCUGGAUCAACUGAGAAUGUACUUGAUUCUACCUGCGCUAAUAAGCCUGGUCCUCUUUGGAAAAGCAUCAUGAGCAGCACCCUGCUAAAAUACGAGUCAAACUUGGGAGUUGCAUUUCAAAGAUGGAAUCAGUCAAGAGCCCAGAAGGGUUUCAAGACAGUUGCCACAUGAGCUGGUUUUUCAUUCUCAAACAUCAAUGAAUUCAUAAUGUAUAAAUAUUAGCUGAGCAGCUUACAGG
rnacentral:lncRNA from 1 species